rnacentral:rRNA from 1 species
AUGGGGUAUGGCCAAUGUAAUGGUGACCACACGGUGUUUUAUAGACACACUAAUAAGAAGAUCACCAUUGUUGCAGUGUAUGUUGAUGAUAUCAUCAUCACUGGAGAUGAUGAGGAGGAAAUAAAGAGAGUGAAGGGGUGUCUGAGCAAGGAGUUUGAGGUAAAAGACUUAGGAAAUCUAAAGUACUUCCUUGGCAUAGAAGUGACCCGGACAGAGAAGGGAAUAUCUUUGUGCCAACGAAAAUACACCUUGGAUCUUUUGAGUGACAUGGGCAUGAUGGGAUGUCGUGCAGCCCCUACUCCAAUUGAACAAAAUCAUCAAGUAACAGCACAAUCAGAUACAUGCAUGAACCAAGGAGAGGGCAUCUUGAUAUUGUUCACAGAAUCCUGA